rnacentral:rRNA from 1 species
AAUUGAUUUUAUUAAUAUUAUAUAUUUUAUUUAUAUUUGAAGAUUUAUAAAAAUAAUUUAUAUUUUUAAUUGUUUAAGUAUUUAGUAUGAAAUAAUUUUUUGAUUUAUAGUUAAAUAGUAUUGUGAAAGAAAUUAAUUAAAUUUAAAAAAGAAUAUUUUAUUUAGUACCUUUUGUAUCAGGGUUAAUUAAAAUUUUUAAUUUAUUUUUAAUUUCUCAAAAUUUAUAGAGUUAAUUUUAUUAUUAAGUUAUUGUUGUAUAAAUAUUUAUAAAAUAAUUUUAGUUUAGAAAUUUAAUUCGUUAUAAUAUAUUUAGUUAUUUAAGAUAUAAAUUUAAUUUAAAAUUUUAAAAGUUUUAUUAAUUUUUUUUAAUUAAAUUUUAAAUUUAAAUUAUUUUAGGGAUAAGCUUGAAAUAUUUUAUAUAAUAAAUUUUAUUAAAUUAAUAAAUUUUAGGAUUAGAAAUUUUUAUUUUAAGUUUGUAAAAAUUUAUUAUUUAUUAAAGUUUUAAUUUAUUAUAAGAUUUAUUUAUUAUUUUUAUUAAAUUUUAUAAAAUAAUAAUUUAUUUAUAGUAAUAAUGAUUAAAUUAGUAUAAUUGUAAUUUAUAAAUUAUGAAUUCGGCAAAUUUUAUUUUCAUCUGUUUAACAAAAACAUUGUAUUAAGUUUAAUUUAAUAUAGGAUCUGCUCAAUGAUUAAAUUAAAUAGCUGCAGUAUUUUAACUGUGCAAAGGUAGCAUAAUAAUUAGUCUUUUAAUUGAGGACUUGAAUGAAAGAUUUGAUGAAAAAUAAACUUUAUUAUUUAUAUUGUUAAAAUUUUAUUUUUAAGUAAAAAAGCUUAAAUUAUUUUAAGGGACGAUAAGACCCUAUAAAACUUUAUAAAUUUAUUAUUUUAAAUUUUUGGUUAAUAAAUAUUUAAAAUUUAAAAAUUUAUUUUAUUGGGGUGAUAAAAAAAAAUUUUUAACUUUUUUUAAAAUUAAACAUUAAUUUAUGAAUAUUUGAAUUAAAAUUUUUAAUUAAAGGAUAAAGUUACUUUAGGGAUAACAGCGUAAUUAAUUUUUAAAGUUCAAAUUUUAAAAUUAGUUUGCGACCUCGAUGUUGAAUUAAGAUUAAUCUUAGGUGCAAAAUUUUAAGUGUUAGGUCUGUUCGACCUUUAAAUUCUUACAUGAUUUGAGUUCAAACCGGUGUGAGCCAGGUUGGUUUCUAUCUUUAAAUAUUUAUUUUAUUUUAGUACGAAAGGAUUAAAUAAAAAAAUUAAAUUUUUAUUUAAAAAUAUAAUUAUUUUA